CCAGAUCUUUGAGGCUGUGGAAUGAGCGUGGGCACAUGGCCUGAGUAAGAUUCCAGAAACUUGCUUCCCUGCCUUCUGAGAACAGC